GCAAAGCUCCGCCUUCCCAAGAACUCGACCUCGGUCAUGCACAGGAGUACUGCGUUAUGAUUCAUGACACGUCUGAGCAGCAUCGGGAGUGAACAAGACUACAGUGGUAAACGCCCAAUUCACGCGGGUCACGUCACGAGCGCCGGCCUGUUUGUUGACAGCACCGAAAAGCACGCCUUUGGCAUAGCGUACCCUUGAAAAAGAAAGGCAGAUAGAUUUCGGUGGUGCAAAGGACAGUAUCGGACUUCUCUUCUGAUCCAAUUAUAUGCGCAGUCCAGUGUGAAAAGAAGCCUUUUUUCCUCCGGGUCGUUGAGAUGAAAAAAACCUUCGGCUGUACGUGCAAACUGUCAAACUGGGUGUGACAGCAGCACGACCCAUCGCCAUCGACGUAACAGCGAGCGACCCCACGCCGCAGGCCGGCACAGAGCAGUGAAUCCUAUGCGGCCGUGGCAAUGUGUUGACGCUGAGCACCCACAGUAUUUCUUUGCACGAGACUUGAUAGCAUACUGAACUUCACAGAACCUUUCAAGACCGCUCUUUAUGACCAAACUGUAGGUACUCCAAGCAGCACCUACAUGACCAAAGACUACCACCAAAAAGAGCGUCAGUGCAGCAACAAUCUGAACUUUGGCCGGCCAUUGAUUGCAAAAAUAAAUCCCAGUUGAUCCACAGCAACGCCAGACAUUAUUUGGCUGAUAGCUUUCAAACGUUCAUGUUUGAUUCUAGACCUCUACCAGAACCUAUGGACGGCACUAGUAGAUCAACCCAGCCUUCCUGAGUCUCCACUUGCACACCAGCUCAUCCUUACAACAGAAAGAGAGAGACGGACAAAACAGAGGCAACGAGCCAGCCGAAAGUUCACCCUAAAA